UGAGUAACCUGCCCUUAACUCUGGGAUAAGCCUGGGAAACUGGGUCUAAUGCCGGAUAUGACUCCUCAUCGCAUGGUGGGGGGUGGAAAGCUUUUUGUGGUUUUGGAUGGACUCGCGGCCUAUCAGCUUGUUGGUGAGGUAAUGGCUCACCAAGGCGACGACGGGUAGCCGGCCUGAGGAGGGUCGACCGGCCACACGUGGACUGAGACGACCGGCCCAGACCUCCGUACGGGGAGGCAC
rnacentral:rRNA from 1 species